rnacentral:rRNA from 1 species
ACGCAGAAGGGUAGGCACAGCAGGCUGAUGGAAUAGCCUGUCCAAGCGAGUAGGGUGUCGCGUAGGUAAAUCCGCGCGACGGAAAGCCCGAGACGCGAGUGGGUGCGGAUACGUCCGCUGAACUGGCCAAUCCCAUGCUGCCAAGAAAAGCCGCUAGCGAGCGACCAGGCGCCCGUACCGCAAACCGACACAGGUAGGCGAGGAGAGGAUCCUAAGGCGCGCGAGAGAACCCUCGUUAAGGAACUCGGCAAAAUGGCCCCGUAACUUAGGGAUAAGGGGCGCCCCAUUAGGGUGACAGGCCACACGCCUCGAGCCUGAGGGGGCCGCAGUGAAACGGCCCGAGCGACUGUUUACCACAAACACAGGUCUCUGCUAAGUCGCAAGACGAAGUAUAGGGGCUGACGCCUGCCCAGUGCCGGAAGGUUAAGGGGAGGGCUUAGCGGCAACGCGAAGGUCUGAACCGAAGCCCCGGUGAACGGCGGCCGUAACUAUAACGGUCCUAAGGUAGCGAAAUUCCUUGUCGGGUAAGUUCCGACCUGCACGAAUGGCGUAACGACUUGGGCGCUGUCUCAACGAGGGACUCGGCGAAACUGUAAGUGCACGUGAAGAUACGUGCUACCCACGACUAGACGGAAAGACCCCAUGGAGCUUUACUGCAUCCUGAGAUUGGAUUUUGGCAGGGCAUGUACAGGAUAGGUGGGAGGCUGAGAAGCAACGACGCUAGUUGUUGUGGAGCCGCCCUUGGGAUACCACCCUUGUUUUGCUGGAGUUCUAACCCGCGACCGUGAUCCGGUUGGGGGACAUUCUCAGGUGGGCAGUUUGACUGGGGCGGUCGCCUCCUAAAAGGUAACGGAGGCGCCCCAAGGUUCCCUCAGCGCGGUUAGAAAUCGCGCGCAGAGUGCAAAGGCAGAAGGGAGCUUGACUGCGAGACGUACAUGUCGAGCAGGGACGAAAGUCGGGCUUAGCGAUCAGGUGGUUCCGAGUGGAAGGGCCAUCGCUCAACGGAUAAAAGCUACCCUGGGGAUAACAGGCUUAUCUCCCCCAAGAGUCCACAUCGACGGGGAGGUUUGGCACCUCGAUGUCGGCUCGUCGCAUCCUGGGGCUGGAGUAGGUCCCAAGGGUUGGGCUGUUCGCCCAUUAAAGCGGCACGCGAGCUGGGUUCAGAACGUCGUGAGACAGUUCGGUCCCUAUCUGUCGUGGGCGUAGGAGAUUUGAGGGGGUCGGUCCCUAGUACGAGAGGACCGGGACGGACGCACCUCCGGUGGACCGGUUGUCGCGCCAGCGGCAUAGCCGGGUAGCCGCGUGCGGUUUGGAUAAGCGCUGAAAGCAUCUAAGCGCGAAGCCAUCCCCAAGAUGAGAUCUCCCACAGGGUAACCUGGUAAGACUCCUUGAAGAACACGAGGUUGAUAGGCCGGAAGUGUAAGCGCGGCAACGCGCUGAGCGGACCGGUACUAAUAGGUCGAGGGCUUGACCU